rnacentral:lncRNA from 1 species
GAAGCCCAUCCUCUGCAUACCGGCUCCCCUGGACUGAACAGCGGCAUUGGCUGGAAGGGUCAGAUGAGGGCGAGAUAACAGAACUAGGGUGAACCUAGUGUUGAGCUCUCCGAGGCUUCCUGGAGUGGAGGACUGGACAGCCCAGGCAGGCCUUGUCACCAUCUUCCACCGUACCCUGGGCUCUGGGGAGUGAGGUCAAGAACUUCCGACUCUUUCACGGCAUCACCGAACCUUCCCAGCUGUGUCGAAGAUGAAAUGAGAUGACACAUGGAAAGCAAAACACCAGCUUGGCAGAUUGUCUAAGAAGAAUGCCGUGAUUAUUACUUAUGGCUUGUACUUCUUCCUUCAGCAAAAAUACUUGUUUUAUAAAAGGAUAACAGUUUCCAUUCCACUAUAAACACUGGUUGGGUU